AAACCGGGUUUUGAUACCCGUGGUGGGCAGAGCACAGAUAGCCCGAUAUGUAGCUUUGUGCCUAAAUUACAUACAACAAAUAUUCAAUGGAGAAAACAGGUAUUAUCUUCAAAGAAGAAGAAAGACACCUUGGACGAAGUCAACUUCAGUGGAUUUCUGGACCAUGUAUUAAGGGAAACUGCAUACGCUUAGAAUAAACAGAAAACAUUGAAAAUGUUUACAUUAAAAUGAGAAGGUAGAAAAUGCAUGGUAUUGCUGUAUAGCACAAUAAGUCUUAUAACCUACUUGUUAGUUAUAAGUUUACCUGAGAAUACCACAAGAGUUUUCCGUAAAUAUGGAAAUCUAUUUUCUAAUGGUCGUUAUAACAACGUCUUGAUUCAUAAAAAAACCUCAAAAUCUCAAAUAAAUGCGACCAAAGUAAUUAAGCUUAAGUGAAAUGUGGAAUAACGGAUGCAGUAAAAGCAAAAGAUUUUAUUUAAUUAUCAAUUCAGGUCAAGACUCUUCCCCCAACCAGUGCUAGAAUGAAAUUCAUGUGUCACUUUUUUCUUUCCUUGUUGUGUCAGGUUUUCUAUACCUGUUGUCAGUAUUUUGCAGCUUACUUGCCAAUAAUAUUGAUACGAUGUAAUUUAGUUAGUAUGAACGAAAAUCGUGUGUUUAAGUACUUAAGAAGAAGUUAUGUAUUUACAAAUUACCUUGCAUUUUAUUAGUUAUUUAUAGAUACGUAUGCAGAGAUAUAUAUAUUGGAUCCACUGUACAUCUUAUGAGCUGAUAAGAGAGCACUCAGACAGCAGAAAUAAGGAAAGUCUCAGAAUAGUCUAAUGUGUGGAAUAGUUGUUGCCAAAACGACUGAAUUCUUGAUCAUCAGUUCAGUGGGAACUUGUGGUGAGUGCCUAAGCCGUUAGGAGAACAAUUUAGACAAAGAUAGAAAAAAGUAAAGGAGUUUGUGAAUAACCAGGAGGACAACAAAUUUAACCAACUGUUCCCUCAUCUUGAUUUGUUUUGGGUACCAUCUUACUGGUCGGGAAAAAUCCUCAACCUUCCAAUCUCUUUCUAGAUAUGAUUUUUCAGGAGUAACUGUUGUGACGACUUCUUGGAUAUGUAGACACAGUUCUUUCUUACUUGGAACCUUAUUAGCAUAAACCAAGUCCUUUGUGAAGAAACAUAAAGAAUCCAUAAGUGUAAUGUCUGGAGAAUGUGUCGGCCAGCUGAUUGGACCUCUCUGUCGACUCCACUGACUGAUUGGAGGAUAUUUCAUCAAGUAUGUUACAGGUGCUAAGGCUCUUGUCUGGUCGAGCACUGUCCUGUUGAAAUAACAUGUUAAUAAUAUCUACCAGUGAUAUAAACAUUAUUUUUCCAUAUGAAACAAAUGGUAUAUCUUUAUACCACCCUGUUUCAAGGCAAUUAGACUAUUACUAACAGAUCCAUGGUGCAACUAUGGACUUUCCAAUUUCAAUGAUUGUAGUAGACUUAGUUAUGGAAUCUUAAGAAAUGAAAAACUUGAAGGACUUCUUAUACAGAAUUAAAAGUUGGUAGAGCAGUUGGUGAAUCUAAGCCAAAGAAAAAUUACCAGAAGAAAAACUGCUGCACAACAUGGAGUCGUCCUAUAACUCUGACAUAAGGCCCAAGAACAGGCUUUUAUUGUGACAGGGUCUCUCAAAGAGGACAGUAUGUCGAUUUCAGUGUUACUGGUGUCAAAAGAUGUUUUUUCACAAAAGUCAUGCAGAGCGGCACCAGUUUUAUCACUGUAAAAAAAGACCAGCUAAUCUGCAAAAGCAGUUUGUUUGUGAACUUUGUAAGAAAGAAUAUUGUAGACCUGAAUUGUUGGAACAACACAAAAUUAUGUACCAUUAAAAAGUAGAAAUAUUGUGAUGGUUUAAAAGUCAGUAAUAACUGAAAGUUAGGUAUGGUGAGAGCAAACACUCGAUUUCUUUGUCACUGGUGCCAAAAAACAUUUAUUCACAAAAGUCAUGCAGAACGACACCAACUAUACCACUGUAAGAAGAGGCCACCAGGUUUAGUCAGAGAAAGAUUCAUCUGUGAAUAUUGUCAAAAGGAUUAUUGUCGGCCAGAGGUGUUGCAACAGCACAGGUUAAUGUGUAGCAUGAAAAGAGAAGGAACACUGUGGAAGAAUUUGAUGGGAACAGAUUACUGUAAUUGAAUUGAAGAUGUGCCUUUAUAGUUCAGUUAAAAUUGUAACCACUUGCUCAUUUUUAUGGUACAGUAGGAGGUCUUAGUAUAUUAUUGUUUUAUCUGGUGAUUAGUAUACAAAAUCAGAUGUAAAGCUGUGGUCUUUUAGAGUUAUUUGUAUUGAAACAAAAAUGCUUAGAAUAAUGAUUUCAGGAAGUUCUUUUUUAAUAGGGUUUAAAGAGGUUAUGCAUGGUUUGUGCAAUUAGAGCAGUAUUAGUCAUUGUUAAUUAUUAAAAGUAAUACAAUUACAUAUUGUAUAGGAACUAACUUGAGAUAAGUUUAUUCAUUUAAAACCGUUUUUCUUUAAGAAAUAUAUAUAUUAAAUUAGAGAACUUUUUAUGCAAUUCAGUUGGUUUUGUUUGCUUACUUGUGUAUCAAUUGUGAUAUGUACACCUAGUGACAAUGUGUUGAAAAUUUUCUCAUGCAUAUUUAUGAUUGAUUUUAGAUGGAAAGAAAUAUGCUACUGAAACUGAACUAUUUAUAUUUGUGAGUUUGAGUUGAUCCAAAGAAAGUGUUGUUUGUUUGUAAAAUAUAUUAACUAAAGAAUGCCAUUGCAUUUACAAUCAGUGUACAGUAAUUAUGGUUUGGUCACUUGAUAGUUUUACCAUUAGUUCAUUCGAUCUAAUUGUUUUAAUUAAAAUUGUGGAAUUGAAGAAUGACAUUGUAUUAAUAGUCGACUGUACAUCUUUGGUUAGUUAUUAAUCUCCCUUUAGUGUUAUACUUGAGCUUACUGAAAGUGUUAUCACCAUUAUGAGGGGGGUGUAAACAUUAGAAAUUGACAUUAAUACAGAGUUAUGUUUAGUUUGUUCAAGUGAGAACACAGUUUAAAGUAGGUAGGUGACAGUCAAGAUAGGCAUAUCUUCUGCUUUCCUUUCCCUGCCUGAAGUUUCAGUUCAGUGAGGUAAGUCCAUUUGUAGUCUGACUCAUUUUGAGUGGUUCUUUAAUUGAAGCCAUUUUCUUCUAUUAGUUAGUUUAAUAUAUGUAAGAACCAACCAUCUCUGAAAGACUUAGUUUGAUCUUAACUCUUAGAGGUUCUCUUCAAACUAAUACAAUUUUAUAAUCACAAGCAAGCAUAAUCCAUUAAUGAUACAGCCAGUUGUGAAAGGUGCAAUAAUUAUGGUAAUAAAGUAAAAUAUCUUACCAUUAUCAUUUUAUAAUUGACAUAAUUUCAUGUAUACAGAGCCAUCUUUGGCUUUGAAAAUAAAGUUUUAUUUGUGUUUUAUUACACUGUCAUUUUACAAGUUUUCAUUGUCAUCUGGACAAAAUUUAGUUCACUGGGAAAACAAAUAACAGUAAAAGUUUAAUUAGAUCAAGUUGUAUCUGUAUACUGCAUUCUUUGUUCACGUUCCAGGAUUUUGAUAUACACCACCUUAAUUCUAUGUUUAUGACAUUAUACAUUGAGGCUAAAAUUCUUUAUAUAUUUGUUGCAAUUUUUUCCACAUUAAAGCUAUAGCUUUCAUCAUUUGUUGAAACACCGACAUAUUGGUGUAUAGAGCUGGGUUAUUUAGCCAAUAUAAUCGAUUACCUAUGACCAUUGAUUUCACUGAAUAGCAUCAUGUAAACUAAUUGUUUAAUUAUGAUUAAAUCAAUUACUGUUAUGAAAAUAAUCAAUUAAUCAAAGUUAGUAUUCUUAACCCACAUUUUGACCAUCCUAAGACACCAGCCGUGAAAGGACAGAACACAACGGAAGACACCAUGGCAGAACUUUCAAAAAAAUGUGUCGAGUAUCUUAGGGAAGUUUCAUAAUUACACAAUGAAACCUAAUUUAUCUUUUGAGGAGGAGAAAGCUUUGUAUAAAUUAAAAAGUAAUAUCAACAUUAUAGUUAAAGAAUCCAAUAAAAGUAAAGGGUUUGUAACUUUAGCAAAGGAUAGCUUUGAUAAAAAUAUUUAUACUCAUUUAUCAAAUGAAGAAAAUAUCUAAAAUUAAACAAAGAUCCUAC